UAGUGGUACAAGUGGUAACAAUGAUGAGUACUUGAAAUCCCAAUUCUUCUGCGAAAACAUAACCAAAGAAAAGAAUUGGUUAUAUAAGAAAUGUGACAAUUGCUUUUCCUGUUGUAGGUUCUCCGCAUAUCCCUAAAAAACCCAAUUCCUUACCCAGUACCCCGUAGGGGUAAGGGGUAAGCAUAACAAAGUUAUGCUUCCAUCAC
rnacentral:lncRNA from 1 species